rnacentral:siRNA from 1 species
ACAGAUCAGGAUGCUCAACAAAGG